GCAGGUCAAUAGUUUUAUUCUGAUCAUACAAAAUGAUUUCCAACAACCACAGAAUACAGUAACACACGCUCAAUAAAACCUUGAAUAUGAAUAGACAACAUUAGAUACAGUUCAAAUCUGUCACUAGCUGGUAGGGAACUGGUAAUAAAACGGUCUGUCUUUAUAAAUUAUAUUUGUUUUUAUACAAUAUGUAAGGAACUAUAAGGAAAAUAUUUGUCAUGGAUGACUGUCUAAUAGGAACCAGAGCUUUGUCAGUGUCCAGUCCUUAUGUCAGUCCUAUGUCAGUGUCCAGUCCUUAUGUCAGUCCUAUGUCAGUGUUCAGUCCUUAAAGUCCUUCCCAAUAGUUACUUAGAUUUGAAAACAUUAGCCGAACAUAACACAAUGUAAAGCUAGCAAUAAGUCAUGUUAAAUCCUU
rnacentral:lncRNA from 13 species